UACGGAGGGUGCAAGCGUUGUCCGGAUUUAUUGGGUUUAAAGGGUGCGUAGGCGGCUUUUUAAGUCAGUGGUGAAAUCCAGCAGCUUAACUGUUGAAUUGCCAUUGAUACUGGAGAGCUUGAGUACAGACGAGGUAGGCGGAAUUUAUGGUGUAGCGGUGAAAUGCAUAGAUACCAUAAAGAACACCGAUUGCGAAGGCAGCUUACUAGGCUGUAACUGACGCUGAGGCACGAAGGUCAGGGGAGCAAACGGG
rnacentral:rRNA from 1 species